rnacentral:rRNA from 1 species
GAUGAACGCUGGCGGCGUGCCUAAUACAUGCAAGUCGAGCGAACAGACGAGGAGCUUGCUCCUCUGACGUUAGCGGCGGACGGGUGAGUAACACGUGGAUAACCUACCUAUAAGACUGGGAUAACUUCGGGAAACCGGAGCUAAUACCGGAUAAUAUAUUGAACCGCAUGGUUCAAUAGUGAAAGACGGUUUUGCUGUCACUUAUAGAUGGAUCCGCGCCGCAUUAGCUAGUUGGUAAGGUAACGGCUUACCAAGGCAACGAUGGGUAGCCGACCUGAGAGGGUGAUCGGCCACACUGGAACUGAGACGCGGUCCAGACUCCUACGGGGGGCAGCAGUAGGGAAUCUUCCGCAAUGGGCGAAAGCCUGACGGAGCAACGCCGCGUGAGUGAUGAAGGUCUUCGGAUCGUAAAGCUCUGUUAUUAGGGAAGAACAAAUGUGUAAGUAACUAUGCACGUCUUGACGGUACCUAAUCAGAAAGCCACGGCUAACUACGUG